rnacentral:tRNA from 1 species
GCCUGGCUAGUUCAGUUGGUAGAGCAUGAGACUCUUAAUCCCAGGGUCGUGGGUUCAUGCCUCAUGUUGAGCG